AACGAACGCCGGCGGCAGGCUUAACACAUGCAAGUCGAGCGCCCCGCAAGGGGAGCGGCAGACGGGUGAGUAACGCGUGGGAAUCUACCCAUCUCUACGGAAUAACGCAUGGAAACGUGUGCUAAUACCGUAUACGCCCUUCGGGAGAAAGAUUUAUCGGAGAUGGAUGAGCCCGCGUUGGAUUAGCUAGUUGGUGGGGUAAAGGCCUACCAAGGCGACGAUCCAUAGCUGGUCUGAGAGGAUGAUCAGCCACACUGGGACUGAGACACGGCCCAGACUCCUACGGGAGGCAGCAGUGGGGAAUAUUGGACAAUGGGCGCAAGCCUGAUCCAGCCAUGCCGCGUGAGUGAUGAAGGCCCUAGGGUUGUAAAGCUCUUUCACCGGUGAAGAUAAUGACGGUAACCGGAGAAGAAGCCCCGGCUGACUUCGUGCCAGCCGCCGCGGUAAAAC
rnacentral:rRNA from 1 species